rnacentral:rRNA from 1 species
UAGUCCACGCGGUAAACGAUGGAUGCUCGCUGUUGGUGCGAUUGUAUCAGCGGCCAAGCGAAAGCGUUAAGCAUCCCACCUGGGGAGUACGCCGGCAACGGUGAAACUCAAAGGAAUUGACGGGGGCCCGCACAAGCGGAGGAACAUGUGGUUUAAUUCGAUGAUACGCGAGGAACCUUACCCGGGCUUGAAUUGCAGAGGAAAGAUCCAGAGAUGGUGAUGCCCUUCGGGGUCUCUGUGA